rnacentral:misc_RNA from 1 species
GAUGAAGAACGUAGCGAAAUGCGAUAAGUAGUGUGAAUUGCAGAAUUCAGUGAAUCAUCGAAUCUUUGAACGCACAUUGCGCCCCCUGGUAUUCCGGGGGGCAUGCCUGUUCGAGCGUCAUUUCACCACUCAAGCCUCGCUUGGUAUUGGGCAAUGCGGUCCGCCGCCUGCCUCAAAUCGACCGGCUGGGUCUUCUGUCCCCUAAGCGUUGUGGAAACUAUUCGCUAAAGGGUGUUCGGGAGGCUACGCCGUAAAACAACCCCAUUUCUAAGGUUGACCUCGGAUCAGGUAGGGAUACCCGCUGAACUUAAGCAUAUCAAUAAGCGGAGGA